UACGGAGGGGGCUAGCGUUGUUCGGAAUUACUGGGCGUAAAGCGCGCGUAGGCGGACUGUUAAGUCGGGGGUGAAAUCACGGGGCUCAACCCCGGAACUGCCUUCGAUACUGGCGGUCUAGAGGUCUGGAGAGGUGAGUGGAAUUCCGAGUGUAGAGGUGAAAUUCGUAGAUAUUCGGAGGAACACCAGUGGUGAAGGCGGCUCACUGGCCAGAUUCCGAAGCUGAGGUGCGAAAGCGUGGGGAGCAAACAGG
rnacentral:rRNA from 1 species